GAUGAAGAACGUAGCGAAAUGCGAUAAGUAAUGUGAAUUGCAGAAUUCAGUGAAUCAUCGAAUCUUUGAACGCACAUUGCGCUCCCUGGUAUUCCGGGGAGCAUGCCUGUUCGAGCGUCAUUACAACCCUCAAGCUCUGCUUGGUGUUGGGCCCCGCCGCCCCGGCGGGCCCUAAAGUCAGUGGCGGUGCCGUCCGGCUCCGAGCGUAGUAAUUCUUCUCGCUCUGGAGGUCCGGUCGUGUGCUCGCCAGCAACCCCCAAUUUUUUUCAGGUUGACCUCGGAUCAGGUAGGGAUACCCGCUGAACUUAAGCAUAUCAAUAAGCGGAGGA
rnacentral:misc_RNA from 1 species